AUGAACGCUGGCGGCGUGCCUAAUACAUGCAAGUCGCGCGAACAGACGAGGAGCUUGCUCCUCUGACGUUAGCGGCGGACGGGUGAGUAACACGUGGAUAACCUACCUAUAAGACUGGGAUAACUUCGGGAAACCGGAGCUAAUACCGGAUAAUAUAUUGAACCGCAUGGUUCAAUAGUGAAAGACGGUUUUGCUGUCACUUAUAGAUGGAUCCGCGCCGCAUUAGCUAGUUGGUAAGGUAACGGCUUACCAAGGCAACGAUGCGUAGCCGACCUGAGAGGGGGAUCGGCCACACUGGAACUGAGACACGGUCCAGACUCCUACGGGAGGCAGCAGUAGGGAAUCUUCCGCAAUGGGCGAAAGCCUGACGGAGCAACGCCGCGUGAGUGAUGAAGGUCUUCGGAUCGUAAAACUCUGUUAUUAGGGAAGAACAAAUGUGUAAGUAACUAUGCACGUCUUGACGGUACCUAAUCAGAAAGCCACGGCUAACUACGU
rnacentral:rRNA from 1 species